GACGAACGCUGGCGGCGUGCUUAACACAUGCAAGUCGAACGGAAAGGCCCUGCUUUUGUGGGGUGCUCGAGUGGCGAACGGGUGAGUAACACGUGAGUAACCUGCCCUUGACUUUGGGAUAACUUCAGGAAACUGGGGCUAAUACCGGAUAGGAGCUCCUGCUGCAUGGUGGGGGUUGGAAAGUUUCGGCGGGUGGGGAUGGACUCGCGGCUUAUCAGCUUGUUGGUGGGGUAGGGGCUUACCAAGGCUUUGACGGGUAGCCGGCCUGAGAGGGUGACCGGCCCCAUUGGGACUGAGAUACGGCCCAGACUCCUACGGGAGGCAGCAGUGGGGAAUAUUGCACAAUGGGCGGAAGCCUGAUGCAGCAACGCCGCGUGCGGGAUGACGGCCUUCGGGUUGUAAACCGCUUUCGCCUGUGACGAAGCGUGAGUGACGGUAAUGGGUAAAGAAGCACCGGCUAACUACGUG
rnacentral:rRNA from 1 species